rnacentral:rRNA from 1 species
CGCAUCUGUGCAUGCAGCAUAUCAAUAAGCGGAGGAAAAGAGGGCUAUUACCUACGCUUAGGAUGUUGAUGCAUAUCAAUAAGCGGAGGAAAAGAAACUAACAAGGAUUCCCCUAGUAACGGCGAGUGAAGCGGGAAGAGCUCAAAUUUGAAAUCUUAAAGGGUUUCCCUUUACGAAUUGUAGUUUAAAGAAGUGUUUUCUGUUGAGGUUUUGGUAAAAGUUCUUUGGAAUAGGACAUCAUAGAGGGUGAGAAUCCCGUAUUUGACCUUUACUUUCAACUUUGUGAUACACUUUCAAAGAGUCGGAUUGUUUGGGAAUGCAGUCCAAAAUGGGUGGUAAAUUUCAUCUAAAGCUAAAUAUUGGCGAGAGACCGAUAGCGAACAAGUAUCCGUGAGGGAAAGAUGAAAAGAACUUUGAAAAGAGAGUUAAACAGUACGUGAAAUUGUCAAAAGGGAAGCGUUUGACACCAGUGUUGUUUUUCUGAAAAUCAAUUAAAGAACUGUUUAUGCUAAGUUGUUUAGACUUUAUCAGCUAACUGUUUAGUUUUGAGCUUUUCUUUAAUGCACUUCUCAGUUAACAAGUCAACAUCAAUUUCUUUUGCUGUAAAAAAGCUUGAGGAAGGUGGCUUGAGAUUCGUCUUAAGUGUUUAUAGCCUCUUGCCUAUGCAGUCGGAGAGAUUGAGGUCUGCAGCGUAGAUCCUUCGGGGCUAAAUGCAUUUGUGCUAAGUUAUAGCAUUUUAUAGACAACUUGUUGACUAUGAUUUGUCUUGUAGCUUACUCGCUUAUGUUAUUUUACCUACGCUUAGGAUGUUGAGCGCAUGUCUCUCUCU